GUGAGUCAUCGAAUCUUUGAACGCACAUUGCGCCCGCCAGUAUUCUGGCGGGCAUGCCUGUUCGAGCGUCAUUUCAACCCUCAAGCUCUGCUUGGCGUUGGGGAUCGGCAGCCCGGCUUCGCGCCGCGCCGUCCCCCAAAUACAGUGGCGGUCUCGCUGCAGCUUCCUUUGCGUAGUAGCACACCUCGCACCGGAGAGCAGCGCGGCCACGCCGUAAAACCCCCGACUUCUUGUUUUUGACCUCGAAUCAGGUAGGACUACCCGCUGAACUUAAGCAUAUCAAUAAGCGGAGGA
rnacentral:misc_RNA from 1 species